rnacentral:ribozyme from 1 species
CUCGAUUUGAAGAAUGAAAAAGAAAGGUCAAUGAAAUAAAAUCU